rnacentral:rRNA from 1 species
GACGAACGCUGGCGGCGUGCUUAACACAUGCAAGUCGAACGGAAAGGCCCGGCUGUUGUGGGGUGCUGGGGUGGCGAUAGGGUGAAUAACACGUGUGGAAUCUGCCCUUGACUUUGGGAUAACAUCAGGUAACGGGUACUAAUACCGGAUAGGAGCUCCAGCUCCGUGGUGGGGGCUGGCGAGUUUCGGCGUUUGGGGUUGGACUCGCGGCUUAUCAGCUUGUUGGCUGGGUAUUGGCUUACAAACGCUUUGGCGGGUAGCCGGCCUGGGAGGGUGAGCGGCCCCAUUGGAACUGGAAUACGACCCAGGCUCCUACGGGAGGCAGCAGUGCGGAAUGUUACACAGUGGGCGGAAGCCUGAUGCGGCAACGCCGCGUGCGGGAUGACGGCCUUCGGGUUGUAUACCGGUUUCGCCUGAGACGAAGGGUGAGUGACGGUAAUGGGUAAAGAAGCACCGGCUAACUACGUG